UACGUAGGGUGCGAGCGUUGUCCGGAAUUAUUGGGCGUAAAGAGCUUGUAGGCGGUCUGUCGCGUCUGCUGUGAAAAUCCGGGGCUCAACCCCGGACUUGCAGUGGGUACGGGCAGACUAGAGUGUGGUAGGGGAGACUGGAAUUCCUGGUGUAGCGGUGAAAUGCGCAGAUAGCAGGAGGAACACCGAGGGCGAAGGCAGGUCUCUGGGCCACUACUGACGCUGAGACGCGAAAGCGGGGGGAGCGAACAGG
rnacentral:rRNA from 1 species